GAUGAACGCUAGCGGCAGGCCUAACACAUGCAAGUCGAGGGGUAGUUACUUUCGGGUAAUGAGACCGGCGCACGGGUGCGUAACGCGUAUGCAAUCUACCUUUUACAGGGGAAUAGCCCAGAGAAAUUUGGAUUAAUGCCCCAUAGUAUGUAUGAAUCGCAUGGUUUAUACAUUAAAGUUCCAACGGUAAAAGAUGAGCAUGCGUCCCAUUAGUUAGUUGGUAAGGUAACGGCUUACCAAGACGAUGAUGGGUAGGGGUCCUGAGAGGGAGAUCCCCCCACACUGGUACUGAGACACGGACCAGACUCCUACGGGAGCAGCAGUGAGGAAUAUUGGACAAUGGGCGCAAGCCUGAUCCAGCCAUGCCGCGUGCAGGAAGAAGCAUC
rnacentral:rRNA from 1 species